CCACCAUGCCCAGCUAAUUUUUGUAUUUUUAGUAGAGACAGGGUUUUACCAUGUUGGUCAGGCUGGUCUCAAACUCCUGACCUCAAGUGAUCCGCCCGCCUCAGCCUCCGAAAGUGCUGGGAUUACAGGUGUGAGCCACUGCACCCGGCUUCUUUUUUUUUUCUUUUUCUUUUUUUAGAGAUGGGGUCUUGCUAUGUUGCCCAAGCUAGUCUUGAACUCCUGGCCUCAAGGGAUCUUCCCCCCUUGGCCUUCCAAAGUGCUGGGAUUACAGGCUGAGCCAUGGCCCCUGGCCCUGAUCCACUUUUCUAAUAUAUGGCUUUUUAAUUUGAAAAACUGAUUUCCUUAUACACUGUGAAACAGCAUUUCUAUAGCUCCCUGGACUAUGCUAGUUCCCUCACCCAAUGUCUCCACUUCUAAAGUCCUCAGUUACUGUGAAACUCAUUUAUCUUUCUGCAACAUUAAUUUUGAGAAAGUUGAAGUGAGCAAAACUUCCUGGAAUCUGAAAAGAAGAUCCAUUGUCCCCGUACCAGGCUCACAAUCAGCCAAAGGGGGAAGUAGAUUUUCCUGUCUGUACAAAAGAAGGAAAGCGUUCUUUGGAACACCUUUGCUGAGUCUCUCUCUCCUCCGCUCAAGGAGGAAGAAGGCAUUUUCACACAAGGCUGGCCAGAUGGGAAGAAUCUUCAGCUUCAGCUUCAGCUUGGCCUCAUUCAUUUGAAAAUAAAAUGUUUACAUGAGGCCGCGCCUGUGUCCAGCUGAAAGUGGGUCCUUCAGAGCGUGUGGGGGAUUCUCUGCCGGCUUGAUGGGCUAGCUCCUCUAAGCCGGCUGCUGGAGACAUCACCGGCUGAGGGACUCCUGCAAACGUUCAUACAUGAUUUGAUCCUGAAAGGAGGGAGAACACAGAAUACAGAGACCGUCACUGCUUGUUUUGGGCUGAAUGGUGCCCCCCAAAAUUCACAUGCUGCAGUCCGCACCCGCAGGACCUCAGAAUGUGAUUGUAACUGGAGAGAGGGUCUUUAUAGAGGAGACUGGAUUAAAAUGAGGUCAUACAGGUAGACUCUUAUCCAAUAUGACUGCUCUCCUUACAAAAAGAGGGGAUUAGGGCACAGGAGGGAAGAGCAUGUGCGCAGAGGGAAAAGCACAUGCAGGCGCUGGGAGAAGACAGCCAUCAGUGAGGACAAAGGCUCCAGAAGAACCAAUCCUGCCCAACACUCUCCAGAACUGUGAGAAAAUAAAUUUUCCACUUUUUAAGCCACCCAGUCUGUGGUACUUUGUCAUAGUAGCUCCUGCUGACUAACUUACUGUUGAAGAGAGGUGAUAUUUUACCUUCCUGCAUCUAAAUCCUAAUCUAAAUCCUACACAUGCUCCUUUCCACAGGGGACUCCAUGACAUUCACAAUCGUUGACUCAAGUUUUCCUAAAAAAUCAGGUCAAGAGUCUUAUGUCUAUCUAAUUAGUGAAGAAAGCACAAUUCUAAACUACACUGAAUCCAGAUGGAAAGGAGGCAAAGGCAGAAGCUUCUUUUUUUGUUUUUUGAAACGGAGUCUCACUCUGUCGCCCAGGCUGGAAUGCAGCGGUGCAAUCUCGGCUCACUGCAAUCUCUGCCUCCUGGGUUCAAGGGAUUCCCCUGCCUCGGCCUCCUGAGUAGCUGGAACUACAGGUGCGCACCACUACGCCCGGCAAAUUUUUUGCAUUUUAGUAGAGAUGGGGUUUCACCAUGUUGGCC
rnacentral:lncRNA from 1 species